rnacentral:rRNA from 1 species
GGAUCAUUAUCGUAAAACUGAGGCGCAAGGGCUGUCGCUGACUUUUCGUCGUGCACGCCCAAGUGCUCUCAAACAAUCCAUCUCACCCUGUGCACCACCGCGUGGGUCCCCCUUCUGGCUCGUCCCGAAGGGAGGCCUGCGUUUUCACACAAACUCGAUACAGUGUAGAAUGUCUCCUGCGAUAACACGCAAUUAAUACAACUUUCAACAACGGAUCUCUUGGCUCUCGCAUCGAUGAAGAACGCAGCGAAAUGCGAUACGUAAUGUGAAUUGCAGAAUUCAGUGAAUCAUCGAAUCUUUGAACGCACCUUGCGCCCCUUGGCAUUCCGAGGGGCACACCCGUUUGAGUGUCGUGAAAUUCUCAAAAACCUUUCUUUUGAAAGGAUUUUGGACUUGGAGGCUUUUUGCUGGCUUUUAAGCGAGCUCCUCCCAAAUAAAUUAGUGGGGUCCGCUUUGUCGAUCCGUGACGUGAUAAGAUGUUUUCUACGUCUCGGGUCUGGCGAUGCCUCUUGGGCACCUGCUUCUAACCGUCCGAUGGACAAUGAUGGCGUCCCGGUCACCACCGUUUUAUCGGUUGGGAGGCU